rnacentral:rRNA from 1 species
UACGUAGGGGGCUAGCGUUGUCCGGAUUUAUUGGGCGUAAAGAGCGUGUAGGCGGCCAGGUAGGUCUGCUGUGAAAACUCGAGGCUCAACCUCGAGACGUCGGCGGAAACCAUCUGGCUAGAGUCCGGAAGAGGAGAGUGGAAUUCCUGGUGUAGCGGUGAAAUGCGCAGAUAUCAGGAAGAACACCCGUGGCGAAGGCGGCAUCCUGGACCAACACUGACGCUGAGUGAGCGAAAGCCAGGGGAGCAAACGGG